rnacentral:rRNA from 1 species
UACGUAGGGGGCAAGCGUUGUCCGGAUUUAUUGGGCGUAAAGAGCUCGUAGGCGGUUCGGCAAGUCGGGUGUGAAACCCCCAGGCUCAACCUGGGACGCCGACCCGAUACUGCUGUGACUUGAGUCCGGUAGGGAGCGUGGGAAUUCCUGGUGUAGCGGUGAAAUGCGCAGAUAUCAGGAAGAACACCCGUGGCGAAGGCGGACUCCUCGUGG